rfam:Triticum aestivum genome assembly, contig: Triticum_aestivum_CS42_TGACv1_scaffold_606197_7DL
CCUCCGUUCGAAAAUACUUGUCAUCAAAAUGGAUAAAAAGAGAUAUAUCUAAAACUAAAAUACGUCUAAAUACAUUAUCUUUUAUCCAUUUUGAUGAUAAAUAUUUUCGGACGGAGG